rnacentral:rRNA from 1 species
CCCUUAGAUGUUCUGGGCCGCACGCGCGCUACACUGAUGCAUUCAACGAGUCUAAAACCUGCUCUGAUAGGGGUGGGUAAUCUUUUGAAUGUGCAUCGUGAUUGGGAUAGAUGAUUGCAAUUUUUCAUCUUCAACGAGGAAUGCCUAGUAAACGCAAGUCAUCAGCUUGCAUUGAUUACGUCCCUGCCCUUUGUACACACCGCCCGUCGCUCCUACCGAUUGAAUGAUCCGAUGAAUAUCAUGGAUUGAGGAUGCAAGUAGGUUAGCCUAUCUUCAUCUUCGAGAAGUGAAGUAAAUCUUAUCAUUUAGAGGAAGGAGAAUUCGUAACA